rnacentral:rRNA from 1 species
UUGAACGCUGGCGGCAGGCCUAACACAUGCAAGUCGAGCGGUAGCACAGAGAGCUUGCUCUCGGGUGACGAGCGGCGGACGGGUGAGUAAUGUCUGGGAAACUGCCUGAUGGAGGGGGAUAACUACUGGAAACGGUAGCUAAUACCGCAUAACGUCGCAAGACCAAAGUGGGGGACCUUCGGGCCUCAUGCCAUCAGAUGUGCCCAGAUGGGAUUAGCUAGUAGGUGGGGUAACGGCUCACCUAGGCGACGAUCCCUAGCUGGUCUGAGAGGAUGACCAGCCACACUGGAACUGAGACACGGUCCAGACUCCUACGGGAGGCAGCAGUGGGGAAUAUUGCACAAUGGGCGCAAGCCUGAUGCAGCCAUGCCGCGUGUGUGAAGAAGGCCUUCGGGUUGUAAAGCACUUUCAGCGGGGAGGAAGGCGAUAAGGUUAAUAACCUUGUCGAUUGACGUUACCCGCAGAAGAAGCACCGGCUAACUCCGUGCCAGCAGCCGCGGUAAUACGGAGGGUGCAAGCGUUAAUCGGAAUUACUGGGCGUAAAGCGCACGCAGGCGGUCUGUCAAGUCGGAUGUGAAAUCCCCGGGCUCAACCUGGGAACUGCAUUCGAAACUGGCAGGCUAGAGUCUUGUAGAGGGGGGUAGAAUUCCAGGUGUAGCGGUGAAAUGCGUAGAGAUCUGGAGGAAUACCGGUGGCGAAGGCGGCCCCCUGGACAAAGACUGACGCUCAGGUGCGAAAGCGUGGGGAGCAAACAGGAUUAGAUACCCUGGUAGUCCACGCCGUAAACGAUGUCGAUUUGGAGGUUGUGCCCUUGAGGCGUGGCUUCCGGAGCUAACGCGUUAAAUCGACCGCCUGGGGAGUACGGCCGCAAGGUUAAAACUCAAAUGAAUUGACGGGGGCCCGCACAAGCGGUGGAGCAUGUGGUUUAAUUCGAUGCAACGCGAAGAACCUUACCUGGUCUUGACAUCCACAGAACUUUCCAGAGAUGGAUUGGUGCCUUCGGGAACUGUGAGACAGGUGCUGCAUGGCUGUCGUCAGCUCGUGUUGUGAAAUGUUGGGUUAAGUCCCGCAACGAGCGCAACCCUUAUCCUUUGUUGCCAGCGGUUAGGCCGGGAACUCAAAGGAGACUGCCAGUGAUAAACUGGAGGAAGGUGGGGAUGACGUCAAGUCAUCAUGGCCCUUACGACCAGGGCUACACACGUGCUACAAUGGCAUAUACAAAGAGAAGCGACCUCGCGAGAGCAAGCGGACCUCAUAAAGUAUGUCGUAGUCCGGAUUGGAGUCUGCAACUCGACUCCAUGAAGUCGGAAUCGCUAGUAAUCGUAGAUCAGAAUGCUACGGUGAAUACGUUCCCGGGCCUUGUACACACCGCCCGUCACACCAUGGGGGUGGGUUGCAAAAGAAGUAGGUAGCUUAACCUUCGGGAGGGCGCUUACCACUUUGUGAUUCAUGACUGGGGUG